rnacentral:rRNA from 1 species
GACGAACGCUGGCGGCGUGCUUAACACAUGCAAGUCGAACGGAAAGGCCCUGCUUUUGUGGGGUGCUCGAGUGGCGAACGGGUGAGUAACACGUGAGUAACCUGCCCUUGACUUUGGGAUAACUUCAGGAAACUGGGGCUAAUACCGGAUAGGAGCUCCUGCUGCAUGGUGGGGGUUGGAAAGUUUCGGCGGUUGGGGAUGGACUCGCGGCUUAUCAGCUUGUUGGUGGGGUAGUGGCUUACCAAGGCUUUGACGGGUAGCCGGCCUGAGAGGGUGACCGGCCACAUUGGGACUGAGAGACGGCCCAGACUCCUACGGGAGGCAGCAGUGGGGAAUAUUGCACAAUGGGCGGAAGCCUGAUGCAGCAACGCCGCGUGCGGGAUGACGGCCUUCGGGUUGUAAACCGCUUUCGCCUGUGACGAAGCGUGAGUGACGGUAAUGGGUAAAGAAGCACCGGCUAACUAUGUG